CACAAAUGCAACGAGUAACCCUGGCACCCAGUUGCGUUUCCGCGGCUUGCUAAAGGCCUGCUCUCCAAGGCUGCCAGGCCUUGCUGAGUUUGCACAAAGAAACGCGGCCCGCGGUAGCAGGCGUCCGGCUUCCUGGGGCGCGCCGCCUGGUGGAGACUGCGGGGAAGGAGCCACAGGAGCUGGUAACUCGACAGCUGAUUCUUGUUUGCUGAAAAGGUGCUUUGAAAAGUGACUCUCACGUUAGCCUUUGGUUGCUGCUCUUCUUACACAUCACGAGUAAGGCCCUCCUCCCCUCAGCGAAGACUCUACAAAUCAAGAGGCCAGGAUGAGCCUUGUUUCCCAUAUGAAUAGACUCUCACUUAGCUGGGAAAGCCAGAGGAACUCCAUCUGGCCCCUUGAUUUACAAGACAUUAAGGGGUCCUUACCCAACCCGCUUCCUCAAGCAGUUAACCUGUGUAAGCAGAUCCUCAGCAUUUCAAAGGAGCCCAAUUAACUGACAAGGUACUGGAACAAUGUAUGAAGUUCCCAGGAUUUUGCUCAAAAAAGAUAACAACAUAAAGCCUUGAGUCUGUGUCCGGCAUAGCAUCCAUAUCUAACUCUUAUGAAGGAUUUAGAGCCCCGCACCUGGUUCCGUUGCUUUUUUUGUAACCAUUUGUCUUUUAAAUUGUUUAUUUCUCUGUAACUAUUUGUUUUUUUUGAUUCUUGCAUGUUUCUACUUCUGUAGAAUUAUUGCAUUUGAGCUCCCCUCCCCUUCCUAAACCAAGGUAUAAAAAUAAAUCGAGCCCCUUCCUCGGGCCAGGAGAAUUUUGGAGCGUCAAGCCCUCUCUUGGCCGCCGGCUUAAAUAAAGGACUCUUAAUUCGUC
rnacentral:lncRNA from 10 species